rnacentral:tRNA from 1 species
GGGCCCGUAGCUCAGUCCGGUAGAGCGCCAGACUCAUAAUCUGUUGACCAGGAGUUCAAAUCUCCUCGGGCCCACCA